rnacentral:tRNA from 1 species
GUCAGGAUGGCCUAGUGGUCUAAGGCGCCAGACUCAAGUUCUGGUCCUCGAAAGAGGGCGUGGGUUCAAACCCCACUUCUGACA